rnacentral:lncRNA from 10 species
CUGGAAGGUUUCCAUGCCAGCGGAGGGAUUGGAGAAAGACUUGGAAAAACAAUGCCGACCAUUGUUUCCUUAGCCUGCUUUGGCUCCCCUCAGUCUGCUCUGUGAAGACACUGAAUCCAUUGACUAAGUCACUGACAUUUUCCUAGCAGAGGAUUUUUUCCCCUUAUUUGUAGGAGGUGGCAGUAGGAUUUUCUGGCAGUCCAAGCUUGCAGCGAUUGCUCACAUGAACUGAUCUGAUACCAAGUGGAAGUGACCUGCUCUCAGGCUCAGCACUUAAAGAAGCUUCUGAUGAACACAUCCCUGCCCAAUAAGAAGUUCCAGAAGGAAUUAAAACCAAAACUUAAAUGUUGAAAAGAAAGAGAUCAUCAGUAGCCACCAAAGAAGGUGUGUUGAAGGUGUCCAGAGUGGCAUGGGUCUGGUUCACAGCAGAACUACCACCUUUGGAUGUGGCAGAGAGCAAGAUAUACACUUUCUAUAACUCUAAAGAAUAAUCAAGGGAGUCACAGUGAAUCACAAGACUGCAAAUUCCUCGAGAGGUACAUGAAGCAGUGGAAAUAUGUUUGCACUGGAGUCAAACAGCCAUGGCUUGGAAGUCCAACUCUUCAUCUUCCAGCUCUGUGACCUUGCGAAGUUACUUAAUUUUAAAUGAAAUAAUGUAAUAAAGCACUUAACACAAUAGCUAUUAUUAUUGUUACUAUCUUUUUAUUCCUAAAGAUCUUAGUAACGCUUUGAAGAUCAUCACUUUUUCGAAAAUAUGUGUUGGCUGAUUUUUAUUUCAUUGAUCAAACUGUCUAAAUCCAGUCAUGUUAAUAUUUGGCACUAUUAGAAAGUAACUCA